GCCCCUCUAGUUUCGAUAUAGAACCGCUGUACACACAAUCGACGCUGUGUUUAUUUUUUUUAAAUGGAGGAAAGAAGACAGUUGUGUGGACCGUGUCUUAUUGGCAACAGAGAGGAAGAGGGAGUUGUAUACUGCAGAGAUUGUGGAUAACCACUUUGUGACUCUUGUAAACAGGAUCAUGCAAGGUUUAGAUCAUUAAAGGACCACAAGUUUUGUGACCUUGCCGAUGUUUCCCCACAGGAGAUACAGGACAUUCUGAAGAGCUUGAUUGCCUGUCCAAAACACGAAAAGGAAGAAGUGGUCUACCUGUUAAAGACCACGAUGUGACAUGCUGUGUUGAGUGUGUAACAGCUUAUCACAGAAUGUGUAAGGAAGUUAAAGCGGCACAUAUAAAAAUCGUAUAUACCCGCUUUAAUUUACUGUCUGAUAAACUGAAUGCCAUAAAAGGCGAUUGUUCUGAAGUGAAAACAGUGUUGUGUACAUUGCAACAGCAAGGCAAGAGCUUUUUAGAACAGGAAUGCAAACACGAAGAAUUGAUAUCAGAAUCAGAAAAUAAAGCAUUAUCAUGGCUUAAAACUACCAGACAGAAGCUCUAUGCCAUAUAUGAACAGCUUGAGAAAGAAUUGGUGUCGGAAAUUAAUGAUAGGAAGAAACUGAUAUGCGAACAAAUACAAGCACAGAAGGAAAAGGUUCAACACUUUUUGCAGGACAUCAAACAGCAGUCAGAUUUAAUUGAAAAUUGCCGCAUGAAAUCAACUGCAAUUAAAAAUUAAAAGCCAAUCAAAGUCAAUCUUUGUUUCAAAGUACUGUGGAUACACGUUUUGAUAGUUGGCUUACUGAAAUGAUGAAUUUUGUGCGCAUUGAAGACCUUUAUAAUGGCACCGACGAGGCAACCGCCUCCAUUGAAAGACGGUUUAUACCCGUUCAUUUUCGAUAGCUACAUUGAAAUAUAUGCAAGGAGGAGACGCGUUGCUAGUAAUUAAGGAAUACACUAUGUAUUAAUUAUCCAAUUGUUAAAGGUAUUGCUAUACCAAUGUCACUAACGUCAUGGAAACGUGCACGUUGUUUCUUGAAUAUAGAUAUAAAUUAUCGUGAAAUUGUUGUGAAUACUACAUGUUUGCUUUUAAAUUGUGCACCAAUAAUUGUAUGUGUAAUGAAACACUCUAUAUAUCAUAUAUCUUACUACUGCA